rnacentral:rRNA from 1 species
AUUGAACGCUGGCGGCAGGCCUAACACAUGCAAGUCGAGCGGAUGAAGGGAGCUUGCUCCUGGAUUCAGCGGCGGACGGGUGAGUAAUGCCUAGGAAUCUGCCUGGUAGUGGGGGAUAACGUCCGGAAACGGGCGCUAAUACCGCAUACGUCCUGAGGGAGAAAGUGGGGGAUCUUCGGACCUCACGCUAUCAGAUGAGCCUAGGUCGGAUUGGUUAGUUGGUGGGGUAAAGGCCUACCAAGGCGACGAUCCGUAACUGGUCUGAGAGGAUGAUCAGUCACACUGGAACUGAGACACGGUCCAGACUCCUACGGGAGGCAGCAGUGGGGAAUAUUGGACAAUGGGCGAAAGCCUGAUCCAGCCAUGCCGCGUGUGUGAAGAAGGUCUUCGGAUUGUAAAGCACUUUAAGUUGGGAGGAAGGGCAGUAAGUUAAUACCCUGCUGUUUUGACGUUACAAACAGAAUAAGCACCGGCUAACUUCGUG